rnacentral:rRNA from 1 species
GACGAACGCUGGCGGCGUGCUUAACACAUGCAAGUCGAACGCUGAAGCUCAGCUUUUGUUGGGUGGAUGAGUGGCGAACGGGUGAGUAACACGUGAGUAACCUGCCUCCUUCUUUGGGAUAACGCCCGGAAACGGGUGCUAAUACUGGAUAUUCACUGGUCUUCGCAUGGGGGUUGGUGGAAAGGGUUUUUCUGGUGGGGGAUGGGCUCGCGGCCUAUCAGCUUGUUGGUGGGGUGAUGGCCUACCAAGGCUUUGACGGGUAGCCGGCCUGAGAGGGUGACCGGUCAUAUUGGGACUGAGAUACGGCCCAGACUCCUACGGGAGGCAGCAGUGGGGAAUAUUGCACAAUGGGCGCAAGCCUGAUGCAGCGACGCCGCGUGAGGGAUGGAGGCCUUCGGGUUGUGAACCUCUUUCGCUCAUGGUCAAGCCGCAACAAUGGUUGUGGUGAGGGUAGUGGGUAAAGAAGCGCCGGCUAACUACGUG